CCUACGGGUGGCUGCAGUGGGGAAUAUUGGACAAUGGGGGGAACCCUGAUCCAGCCAUGCCGCGUGUGUGAAGAAGGCCCUCGGGUUGUAAAGCACUUUCAGUGAGGAAGAACGCCUGGAGGUUAAUACCCAUCAGGAAAGACAUCACUCACAGAAGAAGCACCGGCUAACUCCGUGCCAGCAGCCGCGGUAAUACGGAGGGUGCGAGCGUUAAUCGGAAUUACUGGGCGUAAAGCGCGCGUAGGUGGCUUGAUAAGCCGGUUGUGAAAGCCCCGGGCUCAACCUGGGAACGGCAUCCGGAACUGUCAAGCUAGAGUGCAGGAGAGGAAGGUAGAAUUCCCGGUGUAGCGGUGAAAUGCGUAGAGAUCGGGAGGAAUACCAGUGGCGAAGGCGGCCUUCUGGACUGACACUGACACUGAGGUGCGAAAGCGUGGGUAGCAAACAGGAUUAGAUACCCUGGUAGUC
rnacentral:rRNA from 1 species